ensembl:lncRNA
GAGACGCUCCGCGAGCCCGGCGGCAUCCGGCCUCCAGCCUUCCCCGUGAGCCCCUCGCCCCCACCUCCCGGACCUGCGCGGCCGCGGAAGCCAGUUAUCAUUGCUGAUUCCGCUGUUGGCGUCUGCACGCCGAAAGGCCGGCUACCACCUUAGACCCCGGUAUAAGCAAGAUGUUCCAUCCUGGUCAGCAUGAGAGAGGCAGUGUAAUGGAGGGUGUCACAGUUUGACACAAAAUCCACUCAAGAUAGUGGGACAGAAAUGGGAAAAACUAAAAACUCAGGAGAAACAGGGAGGGAUUUAUUAUAGGAAUUGGCUCAUGAGAUUAUGAAGAGCAAGAAGUCCCUUGAUCUGCUGUCUACAAGCUAUAAAACAGGAAAGCCAGCGGUGUAAUUCAGUCCAUUUCUGAAGGCCUGAGACCCAAGAGAGCUGAUAAUGGUAACUUGUAAUCAGUAGGGUAACUGGGAAGGUUUUAAUUAUUAGGAGUGCUGCUGCUGCUGCUGCUGCUAAGUCGCUUCAGUCAUGUCCGACUCUAUGCAACCCCAUAGACGGCAGCCCACCAGGCUCCGCCGUCCCUGGGAUUCUCCAGAUCUCACUGCUGUCAUGGCUCAUUUGAGCCUGUUAAGAAAUAUCACUGGAGGGGAGCUUCAUUCCUGUAGAAUUUGAGAGGAGAUAAAUGAACUGAUGAAAACAUUAUUAAAGAAAAGAGAACCAGAAAUGAUGAUCUAGGAAACUAUCAGUCCACCCAGAUGGAAAAGAAUGCUGAAGUUCAGAAAUUCACUAUCACAAAAAUACUCUGGAGAAAAUGCUGAUGGUGUGACCCUAAAAUCCUUCCUAAGAACCUCAGAAGAUCUCUUUGAGAGAUUAAGUCAUUCAGUGGUGUCUGACUCUUUGCGACCCAUGGACUGCAGCCUGCCAUGCUCCUCUGUCCAUGGGGAUUCUCCAGGCAAGAAUACUGGAUUGGGUUGCCAUGCCCUCCUCCAGGGGAUCUUCCCAUCCAGGGAUCGGACCCAGGUCUCCCACAUUGCAGGCAGAUUCUUUACUGACUGAGCCACCAGGGAAGCCUCCUUUAUCCAACCAGUCCGUUCUGAAGGAGAUCAGCCCUGGGAUUUCUUUGGAAGGAAUGAUGCUAAAGCUGAAACUCCAGUACUUUGGCCACCUCAUGCGAAGAGUUGACUCAUUGGAAAAGACUCUGAUGCUGGGAGGGAUUGGGGGCAGGAGGAGAAGGGGACGACAGAGGAUGAGAUGGCUGGAUGGCAUCACUGACUCGAUGGACGUGAGUCUGAGUGAACUCUGGGAGUUGGUGAUGGACAGGGAGGCCUGGUGUGCUGCGAUUCAUGGGGUCACAAAGAGUCGGACAUGACUGAGCGACUGAACUGAACUGAACUGAAAGAUAUAUUAUUCACAAAUAUUUUCUCUUAUUCUGUGGUUUGUCUUUUCACUUUCUUAAUAG